GUUUAGGGUUCUUCUUUUCGUUAUGGUCAUGUAUGCUGCAGAAGUAGCGGUACCAGAAAAUGACCUAGGGUUCAGCCUAGGGUUAGGGCUAGGGUUAGGGUUAGUUUCAGGGUGAUAGAUAUGAUUGAAAUUGAAUUGCCUGUGUCUUCCAAAGUGGGUUGGAAAGUUAGUAUUAGUAAAAGUUCAUGGAGAGGCUGAGGGAAAAUAUAGAAUUUCAAGUACAUGGUUAUUGGGAUUUGGUCCUAUACCUUAGGGUUAGGGUUAGGGUUAGGUGUAGGUUUAUGUUUAGGGUUCCAAUUAAUACACCUGACAUUUCGAGUGUGGCUAGGAUUGUUAGGGUUAGGGUUCUUCUUUUCGUAAGGGUCAUGCAUAGUGUGGAAGUAGCGGUACCUGAAAAUGACUCAGGUUUUGGCUAGGGUUGUGGCUAGGGUUGGGGUUAGGAUCAGGGGGAUACAUAGUAUUGAAAUUGAAUUGCCUGUGUCUUUCAAAGUGGGUUGGAAAAUUAGUAUUAGCCUAACAUCCUGUGGAGGGGGCGGGAUAAUGUCUAAUUGCAAGCACCUGGAUAUUGUGAUUUUUCCUGAGGCUUAGGGUUAGGGUCAGGAUUUAUGUUUAGGUUUAGGGUUCCAGUUCAUGUACCUGACGUUUGGAGUGUGAGUAACAUUGUUAGGGUUAGGAUUCUUCUUUUCGUAAGGGUCAUGGAUAGUGCAGAACUAGCGGUACCAGAAAAUAGCAUAGGGUUCGCCUAAGGUUAGGGUUAGGGUUAGGGUUAGGUUCAGGGUGAUAGAUAGCAUUGAAAUUGAAUUGCCUGUGUCUUCCAAAGCGGGUUGGAAAG
rnacentral:lncRNA from 1 species